rnacentral:rRNA from 1 species
AUUGAACGCUGGCGGCAGGCUUAACACAUGCAAGUCGAACGAGUGGCGGACGGGUGAGUAAUGCUUGGGAAUCUAGCUUAUGGAGGGGGAUAACUACGGGAAACUGUAGCUAAUACCGCGUACCAUAGGAUGAGCCCAAGUGGGAUUGGGUAGUUGGUGAGGUAAAGGCUCACCAAGCCGACGACCUCUAGCUGGUCUGAGAGGAUGACGUGCCACACUGGGACUGGGACACGGCCCAGACUCCUACGGUAGGCAGCAGUGGGGAAUAUUGCGCAAUGGGGGCAACCUGACGCAGUCAUGCCGCGUGAAUGAGGAGGGCCUUCGGGUUGUAAAGUUCUUUCGGUAGCGAGGCGUUAACUACAGAAGAAGCACCGGCUAACUCCGUGCCAGCCGCCGCGGUAAUUC